rnacentral:piRNA from 1 species
UGAUUAGGGGACCGGCAAGGGUAG